AUGUCAGACGUGACAGUGGACAGCAACUCCGAGAUCACCACCAAGGACUUGAAGGAGAAGAAGGAAGUUGUGGAGGAGGCAGAGAAUGGAAGAGAUGUACCUGCCAAUGGGAACGCUCAAAAUGAGGAAAAUGGGGAGCAGGAGGCUGACAAUGAGGUAGAAGAAGAGCAAGAAGGCAGGGAGGAAGAGGAGGAGGAGGAAGAAGGUGACGGUGAGGAAGAGGACGGAGAUGAAGAUGAGGAAGCUGAGGCUCCACGGGAAAGUGGAUAGUUGAGGAUGGCGAGGAUGAAGAUGUCGACACCAAGAAGCAGAAGACUGAGGCUGAC
rnacentral:lncRNA from 1 species